rnacentral:rRNA from 1 species
GGGGAAUUUUCCGCAAUGGGCGAAAGCCUGACGGAGCAAGACCGCGUGGGGGAGGAAGGCCCUUGGGUUGUAAACUCCUUUUCUCGGGGAAGAAGAACUGACGGUACCCGAGGAAAAAGCCUCGGCUAACUCCGUGCCAGCAGCCGCGGUAAGACGGAGGAGGCAAGCGUUAUCCGGAAUUAUUGGGCGUAAAGGGUCCGCAGGUGGCCAUUCAAGUCUGCAGUCAAAGGUCGGGGCUCAACCCCGAAAAGGCUGUGGAAACUGAAAGGCUAGAGUACGGUAGGGGCAGAGGGAAUUCCCAGUGUAGCGGUGAAAUGCGUAGAGAUUGGGAAGAACACCGGUGGCGAAAGCGCUCUGCUAGGCCGAAACUGACACUGAGGGACGAAAGCUAGGGGAGCGAAAGGGAUUAGAUA